AAAAAUAAUUUAUAUAAGAAAAUUGUAUAAAUAAAUUCAAAAGUUUUAAGCAUAUUUAAGAUCGUAUAAUAAUAAAUAUUUUAUUAUUUAUAUUUUAGUAAGAUAUAAUUUUAUUAAAGAUAUGACAAAAAAGAAAAACGUGUUAAUGUAUUUAUAUAAAUCAGAAACAAUUGUCGCCAAAAUUUUUAAUUGGAUAAGAUGAAGAAUAAUAGUAGUUUAUAUAAUUUCAAAUUUGUAAUAGUAUUUUAAAAAGUUAGUUUUAUCUAGUUGUUAGUGUGCCCAUUUAAAAGGGUAUCACAACAUGGUUUGAGUUUCGGAAUGAACAUAUUUAAAAAAAAAAUAGAUAUAUAUAUAUAUAUAUAUGUAUAUAUGAAUGACGUCUUCUUAUCUUGUUAACGGUUGACUAACUUCUGUUAGAGUCAAUGUAGAUUUAUGCACAUUUUAAGAAGUUCAGGUAGUUUUUCUUAAAUUAUACUUAAGUUGAGGCCGGUUUUGGCACUGCCCAUUUGUUCGGGUCCUAUUUGGCACGACUGAGAGUGUUGGGGUCGAAAUUGACACUUUUCCUCGUAUAUCAAAACGAUGUCGUUUUAUCUUGUUAACGAUUAACUAACUUCUGUUAGAGUCAAUGUAGAUCUAAGCACAUUUUAAAAAGUUUGGGUAGUUUUUUCGAAUUACAAUUGAGUUGAGGUCGUAUUUGGCACUGAUCAAUUGUUUGGGUCAUAUUUGGUACGACUGAAAUAGUUGGGGUAGAAAUUGGCACUUUUCCCCGAGUUAUUUUCACUCUAAGAUACUUUUCAUCUUUUUAUUACAUUCUAAGUCACUUCUUGGUAUUGAGGUAGUUUUUGUGACUAGAAACCAAAACUAAGUUCAUUUUUCUAACUAAAUGGUCCCACAAACAUAAGAUGAAUUUUGAAAAAAAAAAAAAUUGAAACGAUGGGAUUCGACAGUAAGUAAAGAUGAAAAAGACGCAACCGUUGCUCGACGCAAUUUUUCAGUAUCAUGUUCUUCUGGAACAUUUCCACUUUUGCCUUCUUUCAGACAUCUUAUAAUAUCAGGUUCUUCUGAAACCUUACCAUUUAUGUCUUCUUUCAGACAUCUUUUAGCAUCAGGUUCUCUUUGAACCUUUCCACUUAUGUCUUCUUUCAGACAUUUUUUUUACUAUCAAGUUCUUCAGAAACUUUGCAACUUUUCUCAACCAAUUUCUUUCGGGGAUUUUUUUUUAUCUCUAAAACCCGCUAGUCUCCCCCUCUUUAACUAAACCCUAGGUUCAUUUUAUUUCCAUCAGUUUGUUCUUUAGGAAUAUCAACUCUUGAUGGAAUAUUUUCAGCGGGUAUAUCAUCUCGUAUCUGUGAACACAUUUGGUAACUGGUUUGUCAAAUUAUGCAAGCGCACAAUUUUUUGAACUUCCAGCUCUCUUUGAUAUGUAGGGGGACCAAAUUGCAACAAUGAAUGUGUACACCAUGUAAUUUAUUUAGGAAUUUCUCAAAUUCCUCCCCCUAACGCUGGAAUUCAUUCUCAUUAAAAUGACAAUUGGCAAAUCGUGCCAUAAACAUAUCACCAGUUACUGGUUCAAGAUACCUUAUAUACGGCUUGUUCUAACUCUUUCAGAGUUUUAUAUAUUCCCGAGAGUAUCUUUAACUCUCCAGGGACUACUAAACAUCAAGAUGCAACUCAAGUUAUUUUUGUCCUGCCAGACAUUUCAAUAUAUUGCAUCUAUUUUAAAUUUUCUCCAGUGACCUCGGAACAAGCCGUUUUUCAUACCUCAAGGUCAUCUUUCAUUUCAUUCUCUGGAGAACUAUACCUUGGACUUUUGAUCCAAAAGUCUCUCGUUUUUCUAACGAGCUAUAUAUCGAAUUGAUGGCUAAUCAAUUCACUCUACCCUCACACAUAGAGGUAGAUUCAUAAUCUUUAUUUUUAUAGCGCUUUUUCAUUUAUUUAUUGUCGGCAAUCUAUUUUUUCUUUGGUUCCAUCUUUUUAUCCGUACUGAUAUGGUUAAUCGAGAUUUCUUUAUCAUCAUCGAUGAUUUACCCAGGUACCUGACUAUUAUAUUAACCAUAUCAACGGUCUUAUCAUGAGAUUCAUCCUCUAUUUAUAUUUUUGCUCCUUUUCGAGGACUCUUUGGAACCAAAGUGGUCUAUCACGUCUCUAGCGUGCCAUAGACUCAUAUAUCGUCCGUUUAGGACACUAUUUUUUUUUAUUGGAGCAUUUUCAGUUGGAAUAUGAGAUUUCAUUAAUUCAUCAAAAUGUCUGGCAGGCAUUUUGGAAAUGGAUUAUCCUACUUUUCAUUGUAAUCCAUUUCACAUAUCUCAUUCCAUAACUUAUCAUAUGCUUCUAGCAAACUUGCGAGCAUAUUUCUAAGUAUCCAUAUACUUUAUCCCUCUGGAUUGUAUAUGUCUUUAUUACAUGCACAACUGCAUGUUUACACCCGAACAUAAUUUCUCAAUGUUCCACUCACUAGGAUUCUUUAAUUCUCCCCCUCGAGAUGAUAACACUCCAUGUCUAAAAUCUCGUACUGAAUCCCACUCUAGAACCAAUAACAUAUUUAGUUUUCCCAUUUGGGAUGAAUUAUGUUUCAAAUCCUUUAGAGUGAGAUCUUAAUUUGGGGUCUGUUUAUAGAAAUCACAUAUUAUGAACUUGUUUGAUGAUUCAUCGCCAUGAUGGUUUUCUUUAUUUUCUUGACAUGCUAUAUGUGAAAAAACUUCUGGUUUUUCAACAUUUCACAAUAAUGUUGAUAACAUUAUUGGAGAUGGCUAUAUAUCAGUAAACUCUAAGUUUUCCACUCAUUUAUAAUUUUGCGAUCUUUUUCUUAUGCAUGUCUUUUCAUCAUAAGCUCCUCUAGAGCCAAUAGUAAUUUUUAUAUUACUAGAUACUAUACUUAUUUAUUUUGAGAGAAAAGAAAUAUUUGUUACUUUUAUUAGUCAUUGACGAUGACCAAAUAUCUGCUAAUUAUUUCUAUCUCCAUCCUGAAUAUCAAAAUCUUCAUCAGGAAGAUAAUCAUUAUAUCACCGAUAGUCUCUGGUUCACCCAGAAAGUCUAUCACAUCAAGAUGAGUAUUCAAACUAUGAAAGAUGGUUCGGGUUCAUAAGAGACGAAGUUUAAUAUACUUCCUUUCUCUUUUUCUUUUUGAUUCUCAAUAUAGAUCGGCUAAAUAUUUGGCGUACGACAACUACGUACCUAAUUUUCUUUCUAGCCGUAUCUAUAGCAAACUUUUUAUGUUUGCCUUUUAACACCCGACCACUUUUAUUUUCGUGGAAGUUCUAAUUAUUUCGCAUGGACGAAAUAUUCUUCCUCGUCCACUUCCACGACCACGAUAGGGGGUUUCAACCGCAUCUACACCCUCGUCCUUUUCUAAUAGGACUGACUUGAUGGUUUAGUAUCAUGAUUUCGUUUUCCUUUUUUUUUUCAGUUUUCAAGGAGGGCUUUCAUCAACUCCAACUAUUUAUUGAAUCCUUUCUUACAAGGAUUUAAUUAUUCAAAGAUCUUUUAGAUCUUUUCUCAUGAUACACCUUAUCUUAUGAACCAUCAUUGAAGUGGUGUAAAUUAUCAUGGCUUUAUUCUUUUCUCAUCCGAUAUUGUUUCAAUUUAUCGAUGAUUUCUCAAAGCUCAUUUUUUCUCAGGUGCAUAUUUGCACCCACUGCUCAAGUCUUAUAAUUAUUUCUCGUAAUAUCAAGGGCAUCUAUUUUGAGCUUUGUCAAAUUUGACUUGAUAACCGUAUUCAUAGAAUAAUAAUAUAAUAAAGACGAGAAUUUAAACACAGAAAUUAAAGGCAUAAAUUAAAUUGCAUAAAUUUAAAUAGCAUAAAUAAAAUCGGGAGGCUCAGCCUACCACAUGAUCCGAGGAGUCAUAGACUACCAUAUUGAUCAUUUUCCAAAGUCCGAGGAGACAUGGUCUACCAUUUUGACUUUUACUUAUUUCAAGGUCCGAGGAGACUUAGUCUACCAUUUUUGACCUUUUCUUUUUAUUUACGGAGGCAAAGCCUACCACGUGUUUCUCUUAUCGUGAAGGCAUAGCCUACCAUAACGAUCAGUCGGGAAAGGCAUCGCCUAUCAUCCC